rnacentral:snRNA from 1 species
GUACUUGCUUCAGCAGCACAUAUACUAAAAUUGGAACAAUACAGAGAAAAUUAGCACGGCCCCUGCACAAGGAUGACGCACAAAUUCAUGAAGCAUUCCAUAUUUUU